UCCAAGAAUUAUUCUUGUUCUAAACCACUACAAAACCCCACUUCUCUUGCCUCCUACCCCAUGUAUUCCUGUCACAUUCCAAUCCAUUCUUUAAACACUGAAAUAAUGGAAAAGUCCCCUGAAACCUGUACUAUGCUUGGCAGCAGCUACACUGUUCUACCUGCAAUAAUUUAGCUUAAAAUCCCUGAAUUGAAAAGGCAUCUGGUCUUGAGAAUGAAGCUGAGGAAAUUACAAGAGAAUUGGUGAAAGUGACAUCCAUAGAGAUGCCAAAAUUAAGAGACCAUGAGGAAAUUUGAAAAAGACCACAUUUGAAUGUCUCCAGCCUAUAUUCUGCAAGUCAAGAAAUGAAUGAAAAAGCUGUGGCUGAAGAUUGCUAUGGAAUAAAGUAUAAACUGACACAACCUUA